rnacentral:misc_RNA from 1 species
AACGCAUCUUGCGCUCUCGGGUAGCCCUGGGAGCAUGCUUCUUUGAGUCUCGUAUCAACACAAACUCAGCUGCGUGCUUUAGCACGCUAGUCUGGACAAUGAGAGUCAGUGCGCGAGCAAUGUCUCUUUAAAUAUAGUGCGCUUCAAAUCAAGCUAGUUGAACGGCCCGAUAGAUGGUGCCUUCAUACCAAACUAGUAUGAUGCAUGAUAAUAUGACUUCAUGUCAUUUAACAUCUUCACAUCAUUACUGGAAGGCUAUUGUCAGGUCAGGCUCCAGUUGUUUCGACUGUAGAUUGGCAUGAUUUGCUCAGUGCUUUCAAAGGAAAACAAAACUAUGAAUUUGAGCUCAGAUGAAGCAAGAUUACCCGCCGAAUUUAA